rnacentral:rRNA from 1 species
ACCCGUUGAUCCUGCGGGAGAUUGCUGCUAUGAGGGUUCGACUUAGCCAUGCAAGUCUAGGGGGUCUUCGGGCCACCGGCGAAAUGCACAGUAACACGUUGAUAAUCUGCCCUUUGGUCUGGAAUAACCUUGGGAAACUGAGGCUAAUACCGGAUAGGGAAACUGUUCUGGAAAGAGGUUUCUUGAAAGAUUACGCCAAAGGAUGAGUCAGCGGCGGAUUAGGUUGAUGGUGGGGUAAAGGCCUACCAUGCCGACGAUCCGUACGGGCCUUGAAAGAGGGAGCCCGGUGAGGGGAACUGAGAUACUGUCCCCAGCCCUACGGGGUGCAGCAGGCACGAGAACUUUACAAUGCACGAAAGUGUGAUAAGGGAACCCUCAGUGCUCAUGUCUAACAUGGGCUUUUGCCAAGUGUAAAUAGCUUGGCGAAUAAGGGGUGGGCAAGACUGGUGCCAGCCGCCGCGGUAACACCAGCGCCUCAAGUGGGAAUCGGUAUUAUUGGGCCUAAAGCGUCCGUAGCCUGUUUGGCAAAUCUUUUGUGAAAUUGUCGGGCCUAACUUGACAACGUGCAGAAGACACUACCAGACUAGAGACCGGGAGGAGUCAGAAGUAUGUCGGGGGGAGCGGUAAAAUGUUGUGAUCCUCGAUAGACUACCUAUGGCGAAGGCAUCUGACCAGAACGGAUCUGACGAUGAGGGACGAAAGCCAGGGGAGCGAACCGGAUUAGAUACCCGAGUAGUCCUGGCCGUAAACGCUGCGAGUUAGAUGUUGCGGAUGCUACGCGCAUUCGCAGUAUUGAAGGGAAGCCGUUAAACUCGCCGCCUGGGAAGUACGGUCGCAAGGCUGAAACUUAAAGGAAUUGGCGGGGAAGCACACAAACGGUGCGGCGUGCGGUUUAAUCUAACUCCACUCAGAGAAUCUCACCAGGAGCGACGGCAGGAUGACAGUCAGUCUAAAGGGCUUACUUGACGAGCCGAGAGGUGGUGCAUGGCCGCCGUCAGCUCGUGCCAUAAGGUGUCCUCUUAAGUGAGGUAACGAGCGAGAUCUAUGCCUACAAUUGCCAGCGGGUCCUCAGGGACGACUGGGCACAUUGUAGGGACUGCCUUCGAAAGGAGGAGGAAGGUGUAGGCUACGGUAGGUCUGUAUGCCCCGAAUCUUCUGGGCUACACGCGCGCAACAAUGGUAGGGACAAUGGGCUGCGACUCCGAAAGGAGAAGCUAAUCCUUCAAACCCUAUCUCAGUACGGAUCGAGGAUUGUAACUCAUCCUCGUGACGCCGGAAUCGUUAGUAAUCGGGUGUUAUCAGCGCCCGGUGAAUAAGUCCCUGCUUCUUGCACACACUGCCCGUCAUACCACUCGAGUUGGGUUCGUGUGAGGU